rnacentral:rRNA from 1 species
AUUGAAUGCUGGCGGCAGGCCUAACACAUGCAAGUCGAGCGGAUGAAGGGAGCUUGCUCCUGGAUUCAGCGGCGGACGGGUGAGUAAUGCCUAGGAAUCUGCCUGGUAGUGGGGGAUAACGUCCGGAAACGGGCGCUAAUACCGCAUACGUCCUAAGGGAGAAAGUGGGGGAUCUUCGGACCUCACGCUAUCAGAUGAGCCUAGGUCGGAUUAGCUAGUUGGUGGGGUAAAGGCCUACCAAGGCGACGAUCCGUAACUGGUCUGAGAGGGUGAUCAGUCACACUGGAACUGAGACACGGUCCAGACUCCUACGGGAGGCAGCAGUGGGGAAUAUUGGACAAUGGGCGAAAGCCUGAUCCAGCCAUGCCGCGUGUGUGAAGAAGGUCUUCGGAUUGUAAAGCACUUUAAGUUGGGAGGAAGGGCAGUAAGUUAAUACCUUGCUGUUUUGACGUUACCAACAGAAUAAGCACCGGCUAACUUCGUG